rnacentral:rRNA from 1 species
UACGUAGGUGGCAAGCGUUGUCCGGAUUUAUUGGGUCUAAAGGGUGCGUAGGCGGUCUUUUAAGUCAGUGCUGAAAUACUCCAGCUUAACUGGAGGGGUGGCAUUGAUACUGGAAGACUUGAGUAUAGUUGAGGUAGGCGGAAUUGACGGUGUAGCGGUGAAAUGCUUAGAUAUCGUCAAGAACACCGAUAGUGAAGACAGCUUACUAAACUAUAACUGACGCUGAGGCACGAAAGUGUGGGGAUCAAACAGG